rnacentral:lncRNA from 1 species
AAGAAGCUAUAAAACUCUAAUAAGAUGGAGAGAGAGACUCAUAGGAUACAAAGUUAGUGAUGUCAUGUUUGUACCCCACUCCAUCCUUAAGUCGAGCAGGAAUACCAGCAUGACGAGUAGGUUUACGUAAAGCAAUAGGAAUAUUUAGAUCAUCAUUAUCUAAUGUAAAAUGAAUGGGAGGUACAGGAGAAUUACCAUUCAUCGUAGAAGAUGAAACCGUCAGGACAG